rnacentral:lncRNA from 1 species
UUGGUAGAUGUCACCUAAUCUCCACAAGCAUGGAGCCAAUAGUAGUAAAGCUACUCAGCUUACUUUGCUUCAUGUGCAAAUUAUUUAAUUUAAAAAUAAGCUUGGUUCAUAAAGUUGUAGAAUUAGCUAUACUUUUAUUCAUCUUGCUUUUCUUUGCAUCAAGUAACAAUGAACCAAGUUGAAUUUGAGCCAUGGGCUCAUCACAAGAUGUGCCAAUGAAUGCUUGACUUCAUUAUAUCUAUGCAAGAUCCAUCACACAAACAAAGAAAAAAAAAGAGUAACCAGAAAUUAGUAUUAUGUAACAUGAAAGAAAAAGUAAAAAAAUUGGAAAAGAACAAAAGAAAUAAUUAUAAGCUCCAGAAAUAUAACUACCCAUCCUAAAUCAACUUAAAUAUAACUACCAUCCC